UAAUCCUUGCCUGUUUAUUCU
ensembl:piRNA 21ur-7132 ncRNA